UCAUGUUGAUCAACAUUUAGAAAACCGGAACUCCGUUCCUUUAUUACAUUGGUUUCCAAAAACCAACACACAUCUUACAGACAGGAAGGAAUGUUCCUAAUAUCUGGACCAAUGUUUUCGGUCAUCACUGUUAUAUUAGUACAGGCUAAUUAAUACUGAACAGGACAAUACUUACUGAGGAGGGGGUGGGUAGCCUGAGUGCCAAUCUGUUUGUGCUAUCAUGCUAUCUCCCUGGCACGCCAAAUGGUUGGCUUGACAAUGGAAACAAUGGAGUUGUCAAAAACACAGACCUAGAUUCAAUCAAAUCAAGCGUUAAAAUCACAGGCCUAGAUUCAAUCAGAUCAAGCAUUAAAAAUACAGGCCUAGAUUCAAUCAGAUCAAGCAUUAAAAAUACAGGCCUAGAUUCAAUCAGAUGAAGCGUUAACGCCGAUAGCAGACACCCACAUGUUUUGGUGGCGUAGCAACCGUGUUGGUGAGCAGCUGCUGCUGAGAUCAGUCACGAAGCCACACCCACCUCACUUAUGUUAGAAGUUCAGAAGGAAGUGUAGGCCAGGGCUAUUCAACACUCCAUUUCCCUACACUGCACCACAUUCAGUCCACAUUCAGUCAUCAGUACAGAUCCCUUGAUAUCGGAGUUUUAGAUAAACUGAAAGCUAACUUUGCAACAAGAUUUGAUGAGUUUAAGUCCCCACAGAGGUGGUGCAGUUUAUUAUAGGGGCCCAUUCUCUACUGAUAGGAAGGAGAGAGACUUCUGCACAAAAACUAGUCAACUGAAAUAUGCAUUUUUGUUCAGUAUAGUUGAAUAGCCCUGUUCUAGACUAUAUACACUGUAGAUAUUCCAUUAAAAAAUCUGCCGUUUCCAGCUACAAUUGUCAUUUACAACAUUAAUAAUGUCUACACUGUAUUUCUGAUCAAUUUUAUGUUAUUUUAAUGGACCAAAAUUGUGCUUUUCUUUAAAAAACAAGGACAUUUCUAAGUGACCCCAAACUUUUGAACGGUGGUGUAUAUGUAUAACUGUCUCUUUAGUGUUAGUUUCCUGACACGUGGCAUCAUUCCAUUCCAUUGUUAGUGGACCUUUCUUCCCUCUGUCAUGUUGGUGUGGUUGUUCCUGAGGGACGCUAGCAAUAGUGGACCAUAUUAAGCUAAUGUUUUACAAGUUGUGCAAUAAUUUGGGACCUGUAGCCUAUUUGAAUCAAGGGCGAUUUUUAAAAAACAUUUUAAAAAACAUGGCCUAGAAUCAUUUAUUUUUUAUUUAAAGAAAUGAUUGGGGGUUGUGUGGGUGACACGAAUUGACCUGUUCUGAAUGUUGGGGGGGACAUGUCCCCUACCCCCCGUGGUCAUUUCGCCUAUGAUGUGAAUCAUUAUGGAACGCAGAGCACACAUAGCAGUUGAUACCUGGAGCCUGGUGCACGGUUCAAGACGACUGGACCGUUGUCAUCACAGUUCCACGAUUAGUGAUGAUUAUUAGGAUAGUUUUAAAGGACUACUGGCCAACCCCUACUGUACACUUUUCUCCCCUUCCAAUACUUCAUGGAUUGAACAACUGUAUAUGACAACUUUUAGGAUGAAUCAAACCACUGUAGUUUUGAUUCACCAAUAUAUUUAGUGCGUAAAGGCACUCCAAACCUGAUUUUACUUUCCUAACCCUAAAUAAUAUACAAGAUCAGAGCAUUUUAAAAUCUACCAAUUGGAAAAGGAAAGAAAUGUAUGUAUUUCCAUGGCUUCCUGUCAUUGAUCCCUAAUACUCUGAACCUUCUCUCCAUAUAUUCCACUGAGUCUGUUGAGAACAUUCUAAUUAAAGGUACACCAAGUUUAAAGGGAUGGCUUUAGAUAAAUGUAAACCCUAUCGGUAACACUAUAAACUCAUCUCCAAAACAGCAUCAAUACCUUAGUAAUACAGUGGUAGUAAGUUAUGUAACCUGUUCUCAGGUCAGAUCAUUGUAAUGUAGAAAUGUUACUCUACAUAUAAAAGUGUAGCAGGGAUCUGUAGUUUUAUGUAGCAGGGAUCUGUAGUUUUAUGUAGCAGGGAUCUGUGGCAGACCAAACUCAUCCACCAGAACGCCAUCCUGAAAAAACAAGAAAAUAUGUGUUAAAAAACCCCUAGAGUCAAUGUCCGCACCCCUGCUGAAAUAAUUAGCAUAAUACAAAAUAACAAUGACAUAUCAGUCAGUUCAAGCUAGAGAUAUGUUUUUUUAGCCUGGGCUCCGUCUCAACCCACCGCAUCAACCGAUGUCGGCAUUCUGCAUCUGUGGUGAAAGGAGACAGAGCUAGAGAGGUGUUUGUCAGACCAUGAGACGUUCCGAAAACCGCUCUUCUCACAAAUUCAUCUGCAGCGUACGAACGAUUUGGGCUACAUACUAGUAGCCCCUCUAUGGAAAGGUGGGGCUCGCCCGAACAUAUUGGCUGUUUUGCUCUAGGACACCCACAAGCCCCAAAAGACUAGUAUGAAGGUAGCUGACUAGUAUGAAGGUAGCUGACUAGUAUGAAUGUAGCUGACUAGUAUGAAUGUAGCUGACUAGUAUGAAUGUAGCUGACUAGUAUGAAGGUAGCUGACUAGUAUGGAGGUAGCUGAC
ensembl:lncRNA